GGGUAUUUUAGCCUCAUUAUAGAGUAUCUGCUCUCAUAGAAAUAAUGGGUAAAUAGUAUACAUGGUAGCUUGGUACCAUCAACAUCGCCAUUUUUAGAUUUUGUUUCGCUUGCCGUUUAGAAUUAAUGAAAACACGUUGUGCAUAGUGGAAGACUCACAGUUUUACUGUACAAAUACCUUCUCCUCUGUCGUACUGCCCGCUACAGGCAUUACCGUGGACAAAGUUGUCAUCUUCCGGCCGGUUCCAAGGAGGAUGUUUUGGAGUGUUUCAACAUCUUCAAUUGGCUUUUGAUUAAUCCCGCAGUGGGAAACAAAUUUUGUAAUUCGUGAUUGACAUAUGGAUAAUAAAUGUGUUAUAUGUUAUUUACAAAGUCUU